rnacentral:rRNA from 1 species
UGAGUAAUCUGCCCUUGGCUUUGGGAUAGCCACCGGAAACGGUGAUUAAUACCGGAUACGACCGCUCCUCGCAUGAGGUGGUGGUGGAAAGUUUUUCGGCCAGGGAUGUGCUCGCGGCCUAUCAGCUUGAUGGUGAGGUAAUGGUUCACCAUGGCUUCGACGGGUAGCCGGCCUGAGAGGGUGACCGGUCACACUGGGACUGAGACACGGCCCAGACUCCUACGGGA